GCCAAUGUGGUGUAAUGGUUUGAGUGCUGGACUACAACUCUGGAGGCCAGGAUUCGAUUCCAAGCUCAGCCA